CCGCCCUCGCGCCACACUCUAAACCCUCUUCUUUGAGAUAUUUAUAAACAAUAAAAGCGAAUAACCGUUUCCUUCAUGACUACUCACCUUUCAGAAAGUUGAGUAUUUUGUAAAUGCAUAAAAGUUUUCUGUGUUUUGCCAAGACCAAACACUUAUUUCUUUAACAAAUAAUUCAUUUAAGAAAUAAAUGAUAAUCUAUUGUUUUCUAUUCUGAUAAAAAAAAAGACCUAUUCUUUUCUAUAUUAUCAUAUUCUAACUGAAAAUCUGUGAAACAAGGCAGCAGCUGUUCACAGAUAGUUUACAUUUAAAACCAGACAGGUGAAGCAGUGAGGUUGAUGGUGGUCAGGAAGGGCAGCAGCUUUCAGCAGACAGUCCACAUUUAAAAAGCAGAUGGAGUCACAAACACCGACCUGCUGCCCAACAACCUGCCGUUCAUCUCUAAGAUGGCCUUUCUGGCUUCAUCAGGAGAUG